GGGGGGGGAAUAGGGAAAUUCCAGACUCAUCUGGCUUUUGGGCUCCAAAAGAAACCUUUUAAUCUGCAAAAACUCCAUUGAUUUCUCCUCUUCAAGCUUUUUCUUCAUCCAAGAAGAAGACCAGCUUCAAUCCUCUGACCCAAUACUGCUACACAUGAGGAAAAAUCAAUGUUUUCACCCUUUUUUGAAAUUUUGACCCUCCUUUCAUAUACUUCUGCUACCAAAAUUGCUAUGUCUGCCAUUUUCUCUGAUGUUUUCAAUAUAGCGUUCUCUCUCUUCAUUUUCUCUCUUUAAACAACUUUGAUG
rnacentral:lncRNA from 1 species